AAAACAUUUUAUUUAUAAUAGAUCAACAUUUUUGACACGAAAGGUAGCCACUUUCAAUUUCUCAGGAAUGCCUAGAAUCCAACAGUUUCCAGAAUGACUAGUUAGUUAACAAUUAUUUCGCUGUAGGUAAAAGAAAUAAUUUCAGAAUGAACUUUUUAAAUGGCUUUGCCUAUGGCAACUUAUUUUAUAAGCUUGAAUGUGUAAUAAGCUAACUUUCUCAGGAAGUGAAUGUAAUCCAACUAUGUUCCACGUGUAUUAAACCAGUUUAUACAACAAACAUGGGAAUCACCUAUGUGCAUCAACUGUGCUCAAACAAGAAUUCUCUUUAUCAAAAUAGUCAUUUUUCAAAAAGGCCUCACAUUAACCCCUUAAACCAAUCACCCCUUCUAUGUCCAGUACCCACUCUUUUCUACUUCAAGUUGCAUUACUUUAUAGACAACUGUCAAACUCCAGUGGAACUGUACACUGACGUAAGACUCUAUGUAAUAUAUGUCAAACACAAGAAUAGUCACUGACUUUAAGGGACAAGGUGACCCUUGUCACCAAUAAUAAUAACCAAUAAUAAUUUAGCCAAUGUCAUUUUUAGUUCAGAGGGAAAAAAACUGCCCCCAAAUAUCCUUAACUUUUCUGUACUUCUCUGUAACACAAAGCAUGAAAAGAUAAUCUGAAAUUAAAAUCAUUAGAAAAUAUCUUAAAUAAAAUGUUUUAGGUAAAUACGUUAAUUUUCAGAUUCAAACCAUAUUUUCGUCUGUAUUUCAAUUUGGGAAAAAAUUUCACAAUUAUUAGCUCUUCCUACUUAGAUUUAUUUUUUAGUAUUUAAAUCCACUACAUGCCAGUUUGUAAAAUUCACCUUGGUUACCACUCCCCAUGCUUCUGUGCUGUCUUUCCUCAGGUAAGUCCAUUCUAUGCAUGUAAGUGCUGGGGAGGUUUAAAUAGCGCUUAAAGAAUAUUCAUGAGAGCUAUGAAAUGUUGAAAGUUGCAUUAUUAUCUACUUACUGUAGGAUUUUUAAUUCAAAUUCAUCACAGUAUUACAAAUACUGUGUGAAUGGAAUGCACACAAUUCCUACAGACACACAAACUGAAGUCCAAAAGGCACAGAGUAAUGCUGGUGGCUCUUUCUAGUCAGUUAAGAAACAAUAAAAAGUCUGCAUUAUUCUUUCAUAAUUUAAAUACUUAAGUAAUCUCCACUUUUAUUACUUUAUAACAAUGACUUCAAAUUUACAUUAUUUUAAGUACCAUUGUAAUAGCUUAGUGUAUCAUACAGAUAUUUGCUAAUAUCCCAUCCAAAA